rnacentral:rRNA from 1 species
UUCCGGUUGAUCCUGCCGGACCUGACUGCUAUCGGAUUAAUACUAAGCCAUGCGAGUUUUUGUAGUAAUACAAGGCAUACGGCUCAGUAACACGUAGUCAACCUACCCUAUGGACGAGGAUAAUCUCGGGAAACUGAGCAUAAUACUCGAUAGAUCAUAAUGCCUGGAAUGGUUUAUGGUUGAAAUGAUUCGUUCGCCAUAGGAUGGGACUGCGGCCUAUCAGCUUGUUGGUGGGGUAAUGGCCCACCAAGGCGAUUACAGGUACGGGCUCUGAGAGGAGAAGCCCGGAGAUGGGUACUGAGACACGGACCCAGGCCCUAUGGGGCGCAGCAGGCGAGAAAACUUUGCAAUGUGCGAAAGCACGACAAGGUUAGUCCGAGUGAUUUCUGCUAAAGAAAUCUUUUGCAAGUCGUAAAACCACUAGUGAAUAAGGGGUGGGCAAGUUCUGGUGUCAGCCGCCGCGGUAAAACCAGCACCUCAAGUGGUCAGGAGGAUUAUUGGGCCUAAAGCAUCCGUAGCCGGCUUUGUUAGUUUUCGGUUAAAUCCAUGCGCUCAACGUAUGGGCUGCCGAGAAUACUGCAUAGCUAGGGAGUGGGAGAGGUAGACGGUACUCGGCAGGAAGGGGUAAAAUCCUUUGAUCUAUCGAUGACCACCUGUGGCGAAGGCGGUCUACCAGAACACGUUCGACGGUGAGGGAUGAAAGCUGGGGGAGCAAACCGGAUUAGAUACCCGGGUAGUCCCAGCUGUAAACGAUGCAGACUCGAUGAUGCAUUGGCAUAUAGCCAGUGCAGUGUCGCAGGGAAGCCGUUAAGUCUGCCGCCUGGGAAGUACGUACGCAAGUAUGAAACUUAAAGGAAUUGGCGGGGGAGCACCACAAGGGGUGAAGCCUGCGGUUCAAUUGGAUUCAACGCCGGAA